AGGUUACUGCUAUUGGUGUUCGACUAAGCCAUGCAAGUCAUAUGUUCCUCGUGAACAUGGCAUACUGCUCAGUAACACGUGGAUAACCUGCCCUUGGGUCUGGGAUAACCCCGGGAAACUGGGGAUAAUACCGGAUAACGCAUAUGUGCUGGAAUGCUUUAUGCGUAAAACGGAUUUGUCCGCCCAAGGAUGGGUCUGCGGCCUAUCAAGUAGUAGUGGGUGUAAUAUACCUACUAGCCAACGACGGGUACGGGUUGUGAGAGCAAGAGCCCGGAGAUGGAUUCUGAGACAUGAAUCCAGGCCCUACGGGGCGCAGCAGGCGCGAAAACUUUACAAUGCGGGAAACCGUGAUAAGGGAACACCGAGUGCCAGCAUCAUAUGCUUGGCGUCCANAUGUGUAAACUACAUCUGUUAGCAAGGGCCGGGCAAGACCGGUGCCAGCCGCCGCGGUAACACCGGGCGGUCCGAAUGGUGA
rnacentral:rRNA from 1 species